rnacentral:lncRNA from 1 species
CCAAAGAAGAUUAACAUUUGAGUCAGUGGACUGGGAGCUGCAGAUCCACCCUCAAUCUGGGUGAGCACGGGCUAAUCAACUGCCAGUGCAGCUAGGAUAAAGGCAGGCAGAGGAAUGCGGAAGGACUAGACUGGCUAAGUCUUCUGGCCUCCAUCUUUCUCCCAUGCUGGAUGCUUCCUGCCCUUGAACAUCAGACUCCAAGUUCUUCAGCUUUUGGACUGUUUGACUUACACCAGUGAUUUGCCAGGGGCUCUUGGGCCUUCAGCCACAGACUGAAGGCUGUACUGUCAGCUUCCCUACUUUUGAGAUUUUGGGACACGUACUGGCUUCCUGGCUCCUCAGCUUGCAGACGGCCUAUCAUGGUACUUCACCUUGUGAUCAUGACCACUGGUAUAGCUUGCCUGGUGGUGGACUUGGAGGAUACCAUUGCAUCAGGGCAUUUCUCCACAUGAUAGCUCCUGCCUGCUGGACAGGUCCUCUCUUGACUAUGUGUAUUCUCCAGAGAAGCAGGCAGAAUGAACAUUCUGGAAAAUUUAUGUCCUUGUGUAGAAGGCUAGAAAAAAAAAAGAAGAAAAAAGAAACUCUCAGCCUGAAGGCCUACGUAAAACACAAAGCACUUCUGAAAUCUUUUUGGGGGGCCAAAAUCACACCAAGCAAUGCCUGUGGAAGUGAAUGUAAUCAAGUAUUGCCCUACCAUCUUUCAGCACAACCACAUUAGAAUCUCCUUUAAAGUUUUUCCCACCUUCCCCAGCUCUAAUUGAUCCCCUCAAAACUAUGCUAAAUUUUUAGUAUUCCUAGUCACCUUCCGUAAGAUUGGAGCUAAUUCUGACAAAUAAUCUCUGAAUGAAAAGCCAUUCUACCAGAAAUACCACAUUUCUGGUAGAAAUGUUGGGAGCAUUUUUUUUCUUUUGCUUUCUCUUUUUUCUACUUUCGUUCUUUCAGUGAACUUAGUAGAUAUUAAUCCCUGGAGAGAUUAUUUUAGUUGGUAUCUGAAUUUUAAGGUAACUUUCAGUGCUUGAAAUCUAUCAUAACUAUGUCUUCUAAUUUCGUAGAAUCUUGGUCUCAGAACCUUAAGUUUUUACACGCAUUCUGCUUCAUUGCUAGAGAGCUGAAGAAAGAGGAAUCCCUACUCUGUCGCCCCACACUUUCUAUGUCCCAGGCAAAUAGCAACAGCUCAG